AACUGGGUGUAUGCGUGACCCCGGUGGCAACUCUAAACGGGUCUGAUGCUUACUGGUGCAGAAUCAGGCUUCAGAAGAAUAUAGUGGUCAUGUUGUCUUCUUGGUGGGAGUGAGGUGGGUUCCACAAAGACAUCUGGGAACUGCUUCAGUACUUGAUCAAUGUCAUCAGGAGAAAAACCAAGAUUCAGCCUUACCGUUAAGGUGGAGAACUGCUGAUUCAAGCUUCUGCUGUGGGUCCAUGAUGUUGUGAUACUGGAAAUAUCUGUUACACUUACGCAACCAACAACAUGGAUCAACCCCUUCAAAGUAUGGAAAUUCAACCCUAGCACUGAACCCAUUACCAUGGGUUUGAUUCCUUCCAAAUGGUGAUUCUGGAUUAUCUCUUUUCUUGCUACUACUUCCCUGUGAAUUAACUUGCAAGGUUUCUGCUGGUCCCCUUCCCAAAAUACCUCGGUGGUUUGGUGGAAAAUUCUCCAUUGGACCAGGCUCAAAAACUCCAUUUUGUGAGGGAGCAAAUUUUUCCAUCAACAGAUCAAAUUUUCUACCCAAAUCAUUCAUCUUAGCUUCAGUUGCUUUGGCCCUUUUACUAGACUCAGUCACAUAAACUGUUAAUUGUGACUCGAGUUUCUUUACAUUUUCCUCCAUACUUUUUGAUCUUGUUUCUGUAACUGUCAUCUGUACUGGCCAGGAUAGAGCUCUGAUACCAAUUUAUUAUGUUCUUAAGUGACACAUUACAGCUUUGAAUUUCAUUAAUUCACCGAAAGUACACUUAUCUCAUAUUUUGUAAUUUAAUAUUCAUUUAGGAACUAUUUCCGGAAUUCAUGUUUUACACAAGUUCAUUGA